ensembl:lncRNA
CUUUCAAUACAGUGGAUAAGAAGGGGUGUGCCAGGUGUGUUCUCUGCCUGAAAGACAAAGAGAUCAAUUAUACCAACGAAGGGUCUCCUGCUCUGCUGGCACUUUGUAGAACAGAUGUCCCCAUGGCAGAAAGUGUGCAGUGUGUUAUGUGUUAGUGUGCAGUGUGUUAGUGUGCAGUGUGUUAGUGUGCAGUGUGUUAGUGUGCAGUAUGUUAGUGUGCAGUAUGUUAGUGUGCAGUAUGUUAGUGUGCAGUAUGUUAGUGUGCAGUAUGUUAGUGUGCAGUGUGUUAGUGUGCAGUGUGUUCAUGUGCAGUGUGCUACUGUGCAGUGUGCUACUGUGCAGUGUGCUACUGUGCAGUGUGCUACUGUGCAGUGUGCAUGUGUUAGUGUGCAGUGUAGCCCAAAGAGAGGUGUUUUUGUUGUGUUGAACUUGACA